AUCCCUUCUCCAACUCUCUCCUACCCUCAUUUAUCCCUCAAUAUCAACCAACCCCUUCAGUUCAGCUACAGGUUUCAACCGGUAACUACACACCUGCGUAGUCCACUCUACUAAAACAGAGAGAUCUGCAAUCUAAUUGAUCACGUCUUGUUAGACAGAAAACACAACCAAGUGCCCUGUUCAUUUACAAGAGCUGACAGCUAUUGUCCACCAUUUUUUAACUCCAAGAUGUUGGGAGAGGCUGUCGCUUUGGAAACCGCGGAUGAUAAAAUGGAAAUCAACAGG